GGUAUGCUAAGGAUGAGAAAUUACUCCCCUUUCUAUUUGUUGUUCACGGCCAUAACAAAUAAAGUGUCAAACUAGGAGUUUGGCUCUUGGUGAUUAAGGUCUAGCAGCCUUCGGGUAUUGUUUGAGGUGUUCGUGUGGAUCAACUGUAGAGAUAUUCAUAUUAUUGAAUAUUGUUUUUGUCACACAAGAUUUUAUCUACUUGGAAGGUAGGAUUUAAUAUGCGUAAGGUAACUAAAGGGAAUGUAACAAUAAAGUUGUGGGAUCUUGGAGGUCAACCCCGGUUUCGCAGUAUGUGGGAGAGAUAAUGUCGUGCUGUCUCGUGCAGUUUCCGCCAUUGUUUAUGUUGUGGAUGCUGCAGACCAUGAUAAUCUGAGCAUCUCAAAGGGUGAACUCCAUGAUCUGCUUAGCAAACCAGCAUUGAAUGGUAUUCCUGUGCUGGUUUUGGGCAACAAAAUUGACAAGGCUGGUGCCCUCUCGAAGGACGCUUUGACGGAUCAGAUGCAUUUGAAGUCUAUCACUGAUAGAGAAGUUUGUUGCUAUAUGAUCUCCUGCAAGAAUUCAACAAACAUAGAUUCAGUCAUCGAUUGGUUGGUGAAACAUUCAAAAUCAAAAAGUUUAAGAACUUUUGGAUUUCACUCGGGAGAAAGAGGAUUGCAAUUUUUUUAUGCUGAUUUGGGCUUAGUUUGCCAAGCUGAAUGUAGAAGAGAGGGAUGUUUGAGUGAGUUUGAAUAAAUCAUCCUAAUUUUGAGAGGAAAAAUGCUGGAACAAUUUACACUAUAACUUCCCCUCCUUCUCCUCCCCUCUCCUUCCCUUUCCACCUUUUAAAAAAUCUUAAGUAUGCAAUUGAUAAAUUUUUCCUUCCCAAUCUUUUCCUUUCUUCAUUAAAAAAUUCUUAACAAUACAAUGUUAAAGUUUGUCUUAAGGCAUAGUCUCUUUCUGGUGGUUGUAUUGUAUAUUUUUUUUCAGCUAUAUUUAUUGAUAUUAUAAAUGUUUUGUUUUAUCAAUGUGUUAGAUUCUUUUAAAUAUUACUGAGAAACCGAUAUUUAAGACAUCUUGCUGGUGCUGGGCUUGUUAACACGAGUCACGAUCUAAUGACUCAA